rnacentral:miRNA from 1 species
GCAGUUUCCCUCAGGGAUAGCUGGCGCUCUCGCAACCCCGCAGUUUUAUCCGGUAAAGCGAAUGAUUAGAGGUCUUGGGGCCGAAACGAUCUCA